rnacentral:rRNA from 1 species
CAGCAGCCGCGGUAAUACAGAGGGUGCGAGCGUUAAUCGGAUUUACUGGGCGUAAAGCGCACGCAGGCGGUCUGUCAAGUCAGAUGUGAAAUCCCCGGGCUUAACCUGGGAACUGCAUUUGAAACUGGCAGGCUAGAGUCUUGUAGAGGGGGGUAGAAUUCCAGGUGUAGCGGUGAAAUGCGUAGAGAUCUGGAGGAAUACCGGUGGCGAAGGCGGCCCCCUGGACAAAGACUGACGCUCAGGUGCGAAAGCGUGGGGAGCAAACAGGAUUAGAUACCCCGGUAGUCCCUGUCUCUUAUAC